UUACAUUGAAUUGUAAUUCAAUGUAAAAGAAACAAAUUCAUUUAUUUUAUAUGGAAAAGAAAAGUGUUUUCAUGUUUUGGGUAAACAUGAUGAGACCUUCCUAGAAGUACUGAAAGAUGUGUACUUAGCUUAGAAAAACAAAGAACACAAAAUCAGAUAUUUUUAUGUUUCAUGGAUUUUCUUUUUUACUUUUUAGAAAAAGAGGGAAUAUUACAUUAUUACACAGGCCUCCCUGACCUCUUAAAGACUGAGUUGGGAUGGGUGUCAUAGGCAUCACCUCCCUGGUCUUCAGCAAAGCCCACAGGAUGGUAUCUCUAUUUUGCAUGAAUUAGGCAGUCCUGAUAUUGCCAUACCCUAAAUCUGACAUGGAAAACAAAAGAGCUGGUCAAAAGUUUACUUGGUGAGUGGAACAUCCUGAGAUCCAGCAACCUUGGAGCAGCAUCUCAGUGUAAUAAGAGUCUCUGGCAACUCUACAUGGGCUGUUUGAGGACAAGCCACUCUGCCAACCUGUGCCCCUCAGCCAGUAGCUAGCUCAUGGAGGUCCUGCCCCUGGUGGCUGUCAGAGUCUUCCUGGGUGAGAAAGUCCUUCAGAUACUGGUUGAGUAUAAAUGACACAUCUUUCCACUGUUGUAGUUUCCUCCUUAACUCUGGGACAGCUCCUGGGUUUCAUCUUGAAUGAGCAUACUGGAUUCUCUGAAGUGGAAUAGAGAGAAAUUUAAGACUGCAGAGUUGCACAGUAGAUUACCUGGGCUUUGAGAAAGAUUUUGGUGAGAACAUGCCCAAGGAUCUUUCAAAGGAGAAUUCCCAUAGCCUAUGGGAAAAUGGUGGGGGGAGGUAAAACAAAGGCCCUCCCCUAUAUGAGAAAGUGCUGAGUAAGAUUCCUAGACAUCUCCCUAGAUAUUCUCUAAUCAUGAAUCAGGUGUCUUCCUGAAUCUCCUUCAUAAAGAUAUCCCUUCAGUUCUCAUUUGGCCAAGGAUAUUUCCAUGUGGAAAUCCACAUAGUGCAUUGUGCUUGGAUGGAAUAUUAACCACACAAAUAAAUGUGAUUCACACAGCUGUAGUUAACUCCCAAGCACAUAAUUAAUGAUGUCAUUACCCUCUUCACAUUCUGAGAAGAAACAGAUGUUCCUUCCUCAGUGGUCAGCUGUACAUGCUGUUGUGGACCUUGCCUUCAGAAGAGUAGGCAGGACUACACCAAGGAUAACAGAAACUUCAGUCCUAGGCUCUAUGCAGGAACCCCCACCUCUUGAAAUCUCCCCAAAUACAGGACAUUUGAUUAUCCUCAAUUUAUAGAUGAUGAAAGAGAAGUUCAAAGAUGUAGGAAAUAUGGAAGAGCAAUUAAAUGAAUUUGGCAGUCAGAAUCACUUCUAUCUCUAAAUCUUAGACCACUUUAAUUACUGUAGCUACAAUUGCUUAAGUGAGAUACUAAGCUGGACAUGAAGCACUGAUUCCUUGUACACACAGGAAGGCCCCCAAGGACCACAGGGCUGAAUGUUUCCUUGUGCUCAGAAUUUCAAGAAAAAAGCAAACCUCUCCAAGAUAAAAAAUUGCAUCUGGAUGCUCUUGAGUGAAGUAUAAUCUUAUGACUAUAAGUACCUUGAAAGAACUAUGUCCAACAUUAAUAAAAUUUGUGUCAAAUGAGAAGCACUAGAACAAGGCACUAUUGGUGUUUACUCUAUGCCAGGUACUGCUGUAAGUAAGAUCUUUAAGAGAAUUAACACAUAAGGACACUGCAACUCAAAGAUGUAAGUAUCAUUAUAUACCAUAUGGGCAGAGUAGGAAAUUGAGGUGCAGCAAACACAAAACCCUUUAUUAGCACCCAGGAGAUUGGCCUGUGCUCAUAUGCUAUACAUAGUUAACCAAACAGAUUAUUUGGGAUAUUUUUCUUUUUCAACUUCAAAUUUCUUCUCUAUGUUUAUAAUAUGAUUCUGAGGAAAUACAUUAAUUGUGGAGAGUGGUGACUUGGACAAUGGUCUUUGACUGCCUCAGAGCUGUGGUUGCACUUUGCCCUGGGAACUUUCUGUGCAAAGGUUGAGGAUAAGAUUGCCCAGAAGUUAUGGUAAAGCCCUGCUUAGGAAGUUCUGUGCAAAGGCAUGAAACUAUAUCAGCUUUGAACUUGAGCUCAGACACCAGCUGCAGGGGAUAGAAAAUUAUGAGCAUAACAAGAUAAUAACAAUUUUUUUGUGAGUGCUGCAAACUUCAAGUCGUCUUGCUUUGCAGAAACUUCCCUACAAAUAACCUUUUGAUGAUAAAACCUAUAUAAAAAUGAGCUGUCCUAGCUCUGGGUCAUGAUUCCUCCAUCAGAGGUUGGUGUCCCAUUUGGUCCCAGCUGUCUCUAUAAAUGUUUGUGUUGGUGGAGGCAAUUAAUAAAAUAUAGUCUUCCUUAUUCCAAACUUCAUUUCUUGAAUUCUUUAGAAUGCUUCUAUACUUACUUUUUUGGGUAUUCCUUCCCUAUUAAAAAUUAUACCACUAAUUUCUGGGAAAAAAAGUUGGUGAAGGAGGCAAAUUUGAGCUCAGAAGUGGUAAGGUUCUUUCUAACCAUAGUAAUUAGCACAGGUCCUUAUUUCCAUGAUUCCUUUAGUCCUACCAGCCCACUGUACUGAACAGGAAAAUGGGCUUCUAUUGCUGGACUGACAGUGGGAGGGAAGGCCCUGCCCUUCAGCACAGCUUGUGUUUCCCUGGGGAUGAUGGUCUCCCCCACCUACCCUCAUUCUCAUCUUGACCUUAUGUAUCAUAGUUCAGAACAUACAGCAGCUUCUGGACCUGCUGGCCAUCCUCCAUCCCUGAAAGUUCCCCAGCUCAAGAACAGACAUAAAGGGUGCUAAAUAUUUUUUAAUGUCCCAGAAACACCUGCAUCUGCACUACAGGGAGAAGGUACUUCUGCAUUCAUAAGAAGAGCCUGCAUCCCAGGAAGCAGGGAUUUCCCCUCACCAAUAGCAUUCCUGAUCUUCAUGGUGUCACUUCUGGAUACCACAGUUUCUGUUAACAGCAGACUGCUCUUCAGCUUCUUUAAAAAAGGAGGUUCAUUCUGCCCCUGGAUCAGGUGAAGAACUGACAGACAUGACCAUGAUGACAUUUGUGGCAGAGGAGAUGCAGACAGGGACUGCAAAGAAGAAGCCGAAACAUGUAACAGG